AUGGGACACGCGUCCACUGCGGUUCCGGGCGCGCCGUUCACGCCCGGCUGACGAUGGCUUGCGAGGUUCUGUCAGCC
rnacentral:sRNA from 1 species